rnacentral:miRNA from 1 species
UAGAGCAGAUUGUAAGGGAAG